rnacentral:rRNA from 1 species
CACAUGCAAGUCGAACGAUGAUCCGGUGCUUGCGCCGGGGAUUAGUGGCGAACGGGUGAGUAACACGUGAGUAACCUGCCCUUGACUCUGGGAUAAGCCUGGGAAACUGGGUCUAAUACCGGAUAUGACUCCUCAUCGCAUGGUGGGGGGUGGAAAGCUUUUGUGGUUUUGGAUGGACUCGCGGCCUAUCAGCUUGUUGGUGAGGUAAUGGCUCACCAAGGCGACGACGGGUAGCCGGCCUGAGAGGGUGACCGGCCACACUGGGACUGAGACACGGCCCAGACUCCUACGGGAGGCAGCAGUGGGGAAUAUUGCACAAUGGGCGCAAGCCUGAUGCAGCGACGCCGCGUGAGGGAUGACGGCCUUCGGGUUGUAAACCUCUUUCAGUAGGGAAGAAGCGAAAGUGACGGUACCUGCAGAAGAAGCGCCGGCUAACUACGUGCCAGCAGCCGCGGUAAUACGUAGGGCGCAAGCGUUAUCCGGAAUUAUUGGGCGUAAAGAGCUCGUAGGCGGUUUGUCGCGUCUGCCGUGAAAGUCCGGGGCUCAACUCCGGAUCUGCGGUGGGUACGGGCAGGCUAGAGUGAUGUAGGGGAGACUGGAAUUCCUGGUGUAGCGGUGAAAUGCGCAGAUAUCAGGAGGAACACCGAUGGCGAAGGCAGGUCUCUGGGCAUUAACUGACGCUGAGGAGCGAAAGCAUGGGGAGCGAACAGGAUUAGAUACCCUGGUAGUCCAUGCCGUAAACGUUGGGCACUAGGUGUGGGGGACAUUCCACGUUUUCCGCGCCGUAGCUAACGCAUUAAGUGCCCCGCCUGGGGAGUACGGCCGCAAGGCUAAAACUCAAAGGAAUUGACGGGGGCCCGCACAAGCGGCGGAGCAUGCGGAUUAAUUCGAUGCAACGCGAAGAACCUUACCAAGGCUUGACAUGGACCGGACCGCCGCAGAGAUGUGGUUUCUCCUUUUGGGGCCGGUUCACAGGUGGUGCAUGGUUGUCGUCAGCUCGUGUCGUGAGAUGUUGGGUUAAGUCCCGCAACGAGCGCAACCCUCGUUCCAUGUUGCCAGCGCGUUAUGGCGGGGACUCAUGGGAGACUGCCGGGGUCAACUCCGAGGAAGGUGGGGACGACGUCAAAUCAUCAUGCCCCUUAUGUCUUGGGCUUCACGCAUGCUACAAUGGCCGGUACAAAGGGU